UACGUAGGGUGCGAGCGUUAAUCGGAAUUACUGGGUGUAAAGCGUGCGCAGGCGGUUAUAUAAGACAGAUGUGAAAUCCCCGGGCUCAACCUGGGACCUGCAUUUGUGACUGUAUAGCUAGAGUGCGGUAGAGGGGGAUGGAAUUCCGCGUGUAGCAGUGAAAUGCGUAGAUAUGCGGAGGAACACCUAUGGCGAAGGCAAUCCCUUGGACCUGUACUGACGCUCAUGCACGAAAGUGUGGGGAGCAAACAGG
rnacentral:rRNA from 1 species